rnacentral:lncRNA from 1 species
AUCUUCAAGACCCUUUGAAAGAACAGCUGCCUAGCCCAGGCAACCUCUCUUCUUAGCCUACACGGAAGAAAUGAAAUUCACUCCCAAAGUGCGGGUGUUUUCAGGACCCAGUGAACUGGAACUUGCAGCGUCUUCUGCAAGCUCCGUUGGGCCGGCCUUUCAUGUGAGCAGGAAGGAAAUGACUGACAACUUUCUCGUCUUUAUGGAAGGCGGACUUUAUUUCCAGCUCUCAGGUCAAAAGGCGGCGGAAAGAAAACAAAACCACUAAGAGAUAAAGGCUAAAAAUAAUGUCCUGUGGGGUGAAUCAACCCAGUUUGGGACCCUGAAGACAGCAACAAGGCAAGGAUGUGCGUAGGGCUAAAUCUGCGUCAUCCUUCACAGGUGGUCGUGACCAGAAUCAAAAUGCCUGGGCAAGAGAGGAAGAAGUUCUGCAAACAGGUAUCCUGGACAGUAUAACCAGUUUCCCUAAAGAGGUAAUACUUUUUCACCAAGGCAUACACAUCCUCUUGCCCAGCCUCCCCUUGAAAACAGCUGGAUAAAGUCAUGAUGGGUAUAAACCAUGGCUCAACACCAAGCUGUGAGCUAAAAGAAGGAAGAGAAUCUAGAGCCCAAGAGUAGAACGGGGGUCACCAAAGCAAGGCCAAGACAGGAGCAGACCCAGUAGCUGAUAGGAAUUGAAUCCAAUGACAGUGAAGCUGGAAACCUGACUUGGAACAGACAGGAGCAGACAUAUGGACAAGUGCAAGGUCUGAAGAGGCCAGCAGUAGACAGGAACAAAACAAAAAGCUGACCUGCAAGGGGUCCAGAACACAGACAUGAAGAAUGGGCAAGGAGUCAAAUUCAAGCAACCCCAAGGCCACAGCUCCAGAUGUGCUGAUGUUUCUGGGAAGGCAGACACAAUCUCAAAAAUUAUCUGACUUGGGAUUUUUAGGUACAGUUAAAUGGAAAGUCCUGCCUAGAGAAGAGAAUGGUGUUUGGGGGGAAAGUAAUUCAGAAACUUCCGAUAAUUUAUUUUUAUGUCCCCAAAAGGGCAUGGCACAAUUGAAAGUGCACAGUAAACACUCCAUAAACAUUUGUCAAUUACCUAAUAGAGACGGAAGUUUGUUUAUUUGUUUUUCUCUUGUAAACACAAAGUAAAUCAUACCCAGUCAAGUGCCCCUUGCUUAAACUAGCACAAUAAAUCCAAAGUACCCUAAAGAGGCCAUUCUUUUGCAGAGUGCAGAGUUGAGUCCUGCGGGAGAAAACUGCUCUAUUUCCUAAGCCUGAGUAACUGGAAAUGCCAUACAUCGCUGCCAGGGAAUAAGCAAAGAUCCCCUGCCUACUUAAGAGCAGUACAAGCAUUCUCCAAGAUGUUAUGAUUUCAAGCAGCAUUUGGGAAGCUAGCUUGAAUCAAAACUAGACUCUUCCAGAAAGACCCAUUCCAUAACAACACUUCAAAAACUCAUCUUUCCCAGAUAAGAAAAUUCACUAUACAUCAUCAUCAAAUUUCCCAAAAAAUCCAAGUUAUCUCUGUUAUAAAGGUCAAAAUUCAAGGCCAAUCAUUCACUCCAAACAGAACUUUUUCAGAGGUCUGAAAUUCCCAGAUGAGUUAGACCAGACAAGAUAAACUCUGCCCUUAGAGAUUGCAGGAGAGGGGGGUUUAUCUUCAGCAAUUUUCCCUUGUAAUCUUUGCUCUCAGAUAUCCUGAACUGAACCCAUUAUUCUAUUU